AUUUGUUAUAGACAGUGGGACUAUGAGAUGAGGGAUGAGAAAGGGGAACCCAGAAGGGCUGAAAUGAGCCCUGUGGUGCUCCACUCCUCUGCAGGCUGAGAGAUGGCAGGGCAGGUGCCUUGAGCAGCAGCAGCAGCAGCAGCAGCAGCAGUGGAGGCCUGUCUGGGAUAGUGUUUUAUCACCAGGCCACCAGGGGACCUUUGGAAAUCACUGAAAACUAGGGAGGAGGAGACAGCUAUCUGAGAAUGUUAUCGGCCAUCAUACUAUUUUGAGGAAUGGCCAGUGACAUCUGCCCAGCUCCGAGAAAAAGGAAGAGCCAUAGCCCUGCUGACAUGCCUUCUGUCCUAUGGAUACGGAACGAAUUCCCAGUGUUCCAAAGACUGCUUAUUCUUCACGGGAACACAAUGGAAAAGCAGAUGGAGGUCGAAAUUGAAUUGCUGCUGACUGUUGUCCCUUGUUAUGGCCUGUGGAGAUAUGACAAUUGAGGAAGAACUUAGAGGAAUGCCAAGUAGCAGAGCAUGAAGCAGUGGGUGUGACCCACUGCCGUGGACAUUUUUAUGGCUGAUAGCAUUUGGCAAGAAAAAACCUGCAGCCUCUAUAGUGGUCUUGCAAAUAGAUCUCAACAUUAACCAUGCCCUCACCUAUAUUUGAUUUGCCCUGUAACAUAUGCAUUUGCCAAAAUCCACUCUUCUAAUUGUCAGCUAACUCCCUAGUCCCCUCACAAAAUACCUAAAAUAACUGAAUAAAUCAUGCUGGAAGACA